rnacentral:lncRNA from 1 species
GACCAUCAGCUGCUUUCACCCCCUCACAUAUUUUCAGCAUAUGCUAAAUCUUGGUCAUUACUUAUGCAUGUGGUUCAUAGAGGCAACUUUGAAGGGGAGGGAUACAGGGAGUCAUGAGAGUCUUUAAGCCAAGACAUCUGAAGUCAGUGCAACUCAAAGCACCACAUAUGACCCAAUAGAGACCACAGGCAAGAACAUGAAUUCUCUGCCUUCACGAGCUCUCAAUUUAAUAGUUCAAAAUCCGACUUUGCUCCUAAUUUGCUCUAUGACCUUGAGCAAGUCUGUUGCUAUGCUUGUACUUCUGUUUCCUCAUCUGUCGAGUGUGAGGACUUAGACACCUGGACUCUCAGGCCCUUUGCACUUCUACUGUAGUGAGACAAUGAUUCCGUGAAACUUUACCUCUUCAUCUUGCAUCAUGGAACUUCCUUGGCCUACUCAGUAGCAGAAAAAACAAAAAACAAAAAACUACACUGACAACCUCGUUCCCUACCUAUACUCAACUCCUACUUUCUUCUUUUUUCCUUGGGAGGCUGAGGCAGGAAAAUCAAUGGACCCUGGGAGGCAGAGGUUGCAGUGAGCCAGGACCGUGCCAUUGCACUCCAGCCUGGGCGAUAAGAGCGAAACUCCAUCUCAAAAAAAAAAAUUAUGUGUUGUUGAAUAUGAUUAUUAAUAAUCAUAAUAACCUUUCUAGGCUUUCAUUUUUUGUUCAACUGGGAAUUACCUUUAUGAUGCAUUAUACUGUAUAUAAACUUUCCCCUAGGAAUUUUGGUAACAUGUCUUAGUCCAUCCUUCAAGUACAUAUGAAUUCCCUGAAAUAAUGAAGAAGCUGCUGUUAGAAAUAUGUGGAUGAGCAUCAUACUAUCUAG